rnacentral:tRNA from 1 species
UCUAAGUAGUUUAAAAAAAAUUUUGAUUUGUGGUAUCAAAGAUAUAAAAUAUUAUUUUAGAUU